UGGGGAAUAUUGGACAAUGGGCGAAAGCCUGACCCAGCAACGCCGCGUGAAGGAUGAAGUAUUUCGGUAUGUAAACUUCGAAAGAAUAGGAAGAAUAAAUGACGGUACUAUUUAUAAGGUCCGGCUAACUACGUGCCAGCAGCCGCGGUAAUACGUAGGGACCAAGCGUUGUUCGGAUUUACUGGGCGUAAAGGGCGCGUAGGCGGCAAUUCAAGUCAUCUGUGAAAUCUCCGGGCUUAACUCGGAACGGUCAGAUGAUACUGCUUUGCUAGAGUGCAGAAGGGGCAAUCGGAAUUCUUGGUGUAGCGGUGAAAUGCGUAGAUAUCAAGAGGAACACCUGAGGUGAAGACGGGUUGCUGGGCUGACACUGACGCUGAGGCGCGAAAGCCAGGGGAGCAAACGGGAUUAGAUACCCCAGUAGUCCCUGAGCGGGCUGGCAAGGCGCAU
rnacentral:rRNA from 1 species